GUGUCCGGGGGCGGUGGGUGAGGCCGCGUGGGUGGGACUGGCCCUCGGGAGCGGGUCGGGACCUCUGCGCCUCUCCCUUUGCCCCGAGGCCGGGAACAGCCCCACCCCUGCUGGAGGCAGCGGGGGAGGGCUGAGGUGGGGGGCGGUCUGGGGCCCCUGGAAACUCCGACCUAAGAGCGGCGGCGAGAAAGGCGUUGGUCCCCACCCGCCGCCCAGAGCCAAGCAGUUGUUUUCUUAUCCUUGUUCGAAAACUUGGAUGAUGGUUUCAAAGCUACUUGGACGUAGCCUGUACCUGUCGUAGCCAGAAAAAGCAGCGUCAGUCCCUGGAGUGACUGCGAGUGUUUACUGAAAACUACUUGCUGGAGGCGGUCAUUCGACCUGGAGUUCAACCGCUCAUUAUGACGUGCACUGACCACCAGGGGACGGCACGGAACAUGGCAGACGUCGGCAGACACGGCGCUGGCAGCGGGCGGCAAUGGAGGUGCUGCCAGCCCCGAUGGGCCCCCGACAAGAGCGGGACCGCAGUGGGAUGGUGGAGCAGGUGGUGGCAGCAUGUCUCAAAGAGCUGUUGAGGUGCAGAAGAUUCUCCAUCCUUGAUAGUGGAUUUGCCGCUUCAUCUCACAUAUUUGACCUGCCAACCUCUAACUUCUGUAUCGGGCCUUUCGCUAUUCGAGCAGCUGAUCAGUGAUUCCGUCGUCUCCUCCGUCUUGUCUUCUGAAUGGGUCCUACUCUGCCAGUUUGCUUUCAGCCUGUUUUGCUUAUAAAGCUUCACCAAGUUAUUAUUUUCUAGAAAGGUCUUUUAGGUCUAUCCAGUAACACAAAGAACUUUUUUUCAAAUGUUGUUACUUUUCAUCCAUUGUUAAAUGUAAUUUAAAUAAUUAGCUAACAUUAUGAAAUACUUGUUUAACCCUUUGCACUCGCUUGCUUUUUUCUCGAUUCCUUUAUUCUAAUGCUAACCGUGUUGAGUCACCCUCGACAUCCGAGUGCAAAAGGUUAAAUUAGAAGGCAUUCUUGAAAACUUACGUGAUAUACCAGUUAAGGAGGUAAUGAAAUACUUUUAAAAGAUAGAAUUAGUUUUCUAUCUUUUAGAUCUAGACCUGACUAAACAUUUUGAGAGCUUUCUUACAUGUUCAACAUUUUGAACAUGUAAGCAGGAACGAGAAGAUUCAGCAGGGAGCAGUGCAAUGUUAUCUAAUUCAGAAGGAAUGCAUACACAUAUAUAGCAGGAUAACUAGUUAGACCACUUUAGCCAAAAAUUGCUUGUAACAUUAGUUUCAUAUUUUUGCAUGGCUACUGCCUUCCUUCCUCCUCACAAAACCCCUCUCUACCCGUAUUUCUUUUUUUUCCUUUUUUUCACAAUACCUCAUUUUGACAUCUAUUUGCUUACUGAUUUAAUGUCUGUUUUUCCUACUAGAUUGUAAGUUAUAUGAGAUCAGUUAACCCAGAACCAAGAAUAUUGUUUUGAAUAAUUGAUUCCAAGUUAUAGCAUUGCUACUUAAAAAUGAAACUGUUAGUGUUUGAACGAAUCAUGAAAUAAUCUAAACCCUGGGGAGUUGUGAAGCUCAUAUUAAAGUACCAAACUGUUGCAACAGGUUUGGAAAGUAAUAAGGGAUGCCUCAGUAAGAAGGGUCUCAAGGUUAGCAAAUAAGAUGUGUGGGGAAAGGUAAAAAGAAUUGUGAUUAUCUUGUUAAUGAAAGAAGACUAGUUGCUUAAAGAUUUCCAAGUAUGUAAAAGUGUGUACUAGGAAUGUAGUGAUUCAUCAUCUUCAUUGAUAAGAUAAAGGUAAUUUGUCCUAGACCGUAGGUGCUGAGAAAUAAGAUACAAACAAGCUAUACUGGAGAUCUAAACAGAGAUCUUUGAAAAUGGGCUAUGAGUGUAUAUGCAGGCUAGAUGACCUGUCUAGAUAUUUCCAGCUUUAUGAUUCCAAAUGUGGAUUGCAGAAGAAAUACUGGAACUAGAUAGCAGAUGCUGCUCUGGUUGAUUAUUCCUUUCUGUCCCUGGCCUUUUCCACACACUUUAGAAACAUUUCAGUGUGUUUAUGCACAGUCAGUACAGGUAGUUUAUAUGUUACUGCUUUUAGUUUACAGAAUUAUUUUCACUUAAUACUGAAAAUUGGGUGUUUCUGCUUUUUAACACAAACUGUUUACCUUUACAAUUCUCUAUCUCCAGAAUGUACUAUAUAUGUACUUGGAGCACACUAAUUCCCUAUAGAGAAAAGGCUACUCUUUUGAGGGGGUAAAAUUUUUAGCAAAUACAUCUGAAGCUUUGGUUUGCAGUUCUAUUAAAGUUCUGAGAAACACUAAGCUUUCCUGCUGAGUCUAGAGGUUCAAUUAUUAGGCCUACCUCUAAAUGAUGUAAUUAUACUAGUCAUGUCAAGUCAUCUGUUAUUUCUAUUCUAAGGUGUCCUAAAGAUUUAAAUAAGAACUAUUGUCCAAUUGGAAAAACUAACCCAUAUGGUAUAAGAAUUUUUAGUGUAAAAGCAAUAUGUAUUGCAAAAACAGCUCAAGCAAUAUCACCUUCAUUAGGUAGCAUUUUAAUUUGACAACUUUGACCUUCACCUAAGCAAACUAUUGGAAGUAACGAUAUAAAACAUGUUAAUCGUAUUUGCUGUAUUUUCAAAAACAUUGUCCUUUGUGUCAUAUGGUACCCUUUAUAUAAAAUCCCAUUUAAGAUAGGCUAGAGUGUUAUUAUAAAAAAGUUCUGGAAGCCACUAAAAAAUUGUUUUCAUUUCAUUUGUAAAUGUAUAUUUCAAUUAAA